rnacentral:tRNA from 1 species
GGGCCUGUAGUAUAGCUUGGAUAUUUGCUGCCUUGCUAUGCAAGGAUUAGCAUGUAGUGCAAAUAGUACUAGCGGCUUCGGACCGCUAAGCUCCGGUUCAAAUCCGGACAGGCUCG